GACAGAGGGUGCAAACGUUGUUCGGAAUUACUGGGCGUAAAGCGCGUGUAGGCGGCCCUGCAAGUCGGAUGUGAAAUCCCACGGCUCAACCGUGGAAGUGCAUUCGAAACUGCAGGGCUAGAGCCCUGGAGAGGAAGGUGGAAUGCUUGGUGUAGAGGUGAAAUUCGUAGAUAUCAAGCGGAACACCAAUGGCGAAGGCAGCUCGCUGGGACGUGACUGACGCUGAGACGCGAAAGCGUGGGGAGCAAACAGG
rnacentral:rRNA from 1 species